rnacentral:lncRNA from 1 species
AGGGCUUCCUGCUGCCAUUCAAAUCUCAGGUUCUGCACACGAAGAGGAAGGGCCAGGCUCCUCCCAGCUGCAAACAUCAUGAACUUCCUGAGGCUCCACCUCAGUGGACAGGCUGGUAGGAGUUUCUCGAGGGACCCCCUCCAACCUGGCUGACUCAUUAUGACCCACUGAGGCAGAAUCUGCUUUUCAAUAAGAUUCCAAUAAUUGUCAGGUACAGGGAGGUGUGAACUGUGAGCCCUGGAGUCCUUCGCCCCCUUUCCGGAGUCUCCCUGUGCACUUACCUCAGGGGCCCGGGGAGGUGGGGGCAUGGCUAGCAUGGUGGGGCAGCCGACCUGGGGCUUCCUGUCAAUACCUGGAUUCACUUUCUGGUGGUGGGGACUGGGCGGCUUAAGCUACAGAAGUUGAUUGUCUCACAGUUUGGAAGUUGGGAGUUUCUUCUGAGGCCUCUCUUCUUGGCCUGCAGAUCGUGUCUUCAUGUCUCCCAGUGUGUAUGCCUAUGCAGGUUUCCCCAUCUUCUAAGGACACAGAGUCCUACUAAAUUAGAGACCACCUUAUGGCCUUGUUUUAACUUGAUCUAAGAUAAGUUAUAGGUCUGCAAAGACCCUAUUUCCAAAUAAGGCCACAUCCACAGAUACUGGGGUUAGGACUUCAACAUCUUUCCAGGGCACACGAUUCAACACCACUUUACCCAGAAUGACUCAGGGUGGGCGGGCCUGUGCAUCCCCUCCUCCUGAUGUGCAGGGGCCACCCAAGGCCAAGACCAAUGAAGCCAGUCCCCUGGAAGGCCCCAGCCUCAUUCCUGCUCCCCCUAGGUCUUCAGAAGGCAUCUUCACCAACUUGCUGCACAGCCCCAGGGUCCAGCUCUGAGGGAACCAACCACACUCAGUCACCUAGAAUCCUCUCUGAGCUAGGAGUGAGGCCUUAAUCUGGGUCCACUGGGGGUAUGCCAUUCACAGGCACUUGAGAUGAAGCAGUGCACAGAAGGACAGGGUCCAUCCGCACAGUGAUAUGAGAUGAAUUAUGUCUGCCCCCAACUCCCUGCCAAAAACAUAUGUUACAGUCCCAACUCCCAGAACCUCAGAAUGUGAACUUUGCUGAUGUAAUUUGCUAAGAUAAGGUCAUACAGGAGUAGGACUGCAGGAGGACACAGGAGAAAGGCCUUUGCAAGUCAAGAAGAGAGGCCUCGGAAGGAAUCAAUCCUGCCAACACUUUGAUCUCAGACUUCCAGCCUCCAGAGCUGAGACCAUGAAUGUCUGCUGUUUGCACUGCUUUGUCUUGGCAGCCCUAUCAGACUACUACUGGCGGAGAAGCUGACAGGGAGGACUAGGUGUCACUGGAUUCAGGGGAUGCUGGAGACAUGGGACCGGCAUGCAAAACAAGACCUUGAAGCUUGGCCUGAUCACCACACCCAGCUCUAUGGAGAGAAGCCUGUUCUGGCUUUAAGAAGGCAUCUCCAAGAACUGCCAGUGGCCUGAAACAUCAGCCGAAACCUGGGAAGGGUCCCUGCCCCACCAGCUGUACUGGGAGCCUGGCAGGGCAUGAUUUUGAGCCAUACUGGGCCCUGGCAGCUGCUGACACUACUGAGUGCUGGGAGCCAUUGGGCUGGCGCCCCUCCUUCAGGCCAUGCAGCAGGAGACCAUGUAAGAAACAAGAGAGAUGGAGUCUGUCUCGAGGCUCAAAGCCCGCUUCCCGCUCGGCUGCUUUCUCACUCCGGGCUGCGGCAGGGCAGAUGCUGUCUGAAGGAGAACAGGCGGUCCUGGCAAGCCCAGCUUCCAUGAGAAAGCACCCAUGGGUGUGAUGUGGGUGCUGCUCAGUGCCCUCCCACCCUCUGCACGCCCCAGAGGGGCAGAGGCAGGGUCCUUAUUUAGGCUGUGCGGGAGAGGCAGACCUUUCGCUGUGAGUGGAGGUGCUUGGCUCUCAUGAAGACUUAGGUAAAAGUGUACUGGCCUGUUUUGGGCUUCAGGGACCUAAGUAAUGGCCUCUCCAUUGUUUUAUUUUUACUGUGGUAAUGGUGGCGUCUAUCAUAGAGCCAAUCGCAGGUGGUUUGAGAUGGGAGUGGGGGUGUCAUGUCCAGAUCCACCGGGGAAGGGCUAACUCCCGUGGAUGCCAGUGAGAUGGAAAACCGGUUCUACACACCGUGACCCGAAUGGGGAAAAAUGAUGACCAAGCUGGUUAAUAAUAAAAGGUCAUUUUCACGUUGGCAGUAAUGUUGAGAGCAUAAGAAGAUCUGAAAAAUGAAAGGACAAAGACAUCUGCUUAACAGAGACACAUAUACACCACACACAAACACACAGGUACACAUACACACACCACACACACUACACAUACACACAUACAUGCAGGUAUACACAUGCAGAUAUGCAUACACACAAGUACACAAAUACACACCACAUACAGAAGCACAUACAUAGACAUAUGCCACACAAACACACCACACACACAAAUACAUACACACACAGAUACAUAAACAUGCAUACAUAUGUAUACACAGACAUCCCCACAUACCACAUGCACACACUACACACAUAGACACACACAUGCCACACAUAUACAAACACAGAUACACCACACAGAGAUACACACAUAUACACACACCAUGUAUGCAUGCAAACAUACAAACACACAUGGACACACACAGACACCUCCCCAAACCACAUGCGCACAUCAUGAACGGACACACACAUACUACAAACAGAUGCACACGUACACCCCCUCCCACACACACACAGAUUCCUAACAGGAUGAACCCUCCGGCCCAUUAGGGGAAGCCCUGGUAGCAAAUGAAAAAAAGCAUCCUCUAGAAAGCUACUAUUUAGUGAUCAAGAUUAAAGAACUGGGGUGAGGCUGAGAAAAAAAUUCAUAGCAUGACAUUAAGGAAUGGAUAUCUCAUUAAUUUUAAAAGAGAAGAUUGAAUGAACAAGUGUCUAAUAUUUUGACUGUAGAAAAAUAAAUAAAAUGGCUGUUUGUUCACGGCCAUGCUUUAACUGGGCGAUAUUUUUCUCUUCAUGAAUCUCUUCUACUUAAAUUCUCUCCACCUUGGGAGGUCUGCCUUAUUUCCAAGGCGAGCAAAUCCUGCUCAGAUCCUGGUCCACUGAAGUCUGUCCGAGGAGUCUUUUCUCGCCCCUGUUCUGUUGAGAUUUCCUGCCAUGUACACGGUAGUGUGAGGUAGAAAGUCUCGGUAGUUGAGAUUGGCUUGACCAAGCAUCUUGUUUUCUUUUUUAUUUCGAGGUUG